rnacentral:tRNA from 1 species
GGUUUCAUGGUGUAGUUGGUUAUCACGCGUCCUUAACACGGACGAGGUCUUGAGUUCGAUCCUCAAUGAAAUCA